AUCCAGCUUACGAGUCCCGAAUAGGACGAAACGCGCAUCCUGGAU
rfam:Schistosoma rodhaini strain Burundi genome assembly, scaffold: SROB_contig0002114